AUGCAAUGUAAAUGCUAAGGCAGUGAACUGCUAACCACGUGGGAACAUCCAAAGCACUGUUUUUAAACAGAAAACACCGAAAAACCUCUAGCAUGUGCUCAUUAUUCUAAGAGGUAAAAGAAAGUUCACUCAAUCAGAAUCUGAAAUGGAGAUUCUAAGAAAGCAAGAGAAAGUCAAAUUCUUUGACUCUUCAAAUCCCCAAACCAAAGUGAGUCAAGUAACAAGCAAACUGGGAGUUCAGAAUGGGAAAUUAAAUAAAGGAACAUAUUGCUGAAAUACUGAGGGCAGCUACUGACCAGGGAGUUUUGCUGAAUCAGAAAGGACUUGGAAAGAGACUGACCAUGCUAUGGAAGACCACAGGGCAAGAAAUGCCAAUAACCUUUGGCUCUGUUUUAUCAAUGAUCUCUUGGGAGUCUAUUUUCAUUUUCUCAUCUAUAACAUGAGGAUUGUGUUGGCCCUCUUUGUAUUUGGAGGACAACAGUGGAGGGACAUUUGUUUAUGGACCUUCAUGUGCAG
rnacentral:lncRNA from 1 species